rnacentral:lncRNA from 1 species
GCUAGGCGCACCAGUCUUCCAAAUUGACUGGGACGCCCACAGGUACCUGUGCUCCCUGAUCAAUAAAAAAUCCUCUUGCAGAUUGCAGCCGGUGGACUCGGACUAGUCAUUGGGGCUUGAGGAUCUCCCUCCUGAGGGAAGAUUCUCUCUGAGAGUCUUACAUAUGGGGGCUCGUCCGGGAUCGGAGAUCCUCUGCCUAGAGACCACCGACCACCCACCGGGAGACUGUUACAGGUCUUCUUUACCACUGAGGAAAGACGGAAUCCUACUGGAGGCCAGAAAGAAUGUUCCAGACAUGGAUGGAAGACCCUCACUCCUGACUGUUGACUUGAAUACCCCUGAAGGUAGGGAGUGCUCCAGGUCUGCCACCAGGCUCCAAAGGUGGGUCUCCGAGGGGCUGGAAAAUGCCCCACCAAUCUGGCUAAGAUAAGGAAAAGAUAUAAAGAGAGAAAGUUACAGAAAUUUAAAGGGUUAAGCUAAGUUGCUGAGAGUUAGUGUAAGUUGCAGAGAAAGUAAAGUUGAAGUGUAGUUACAUAAGUGGACAGCAUCUAAUAGCUGUAGAGGAAGAUGCAGAAGAUAUGAGAGAGAGACUGAGGAAGAGAAAGAGGAAAGAAGGUAAAAAGAGCAGGAAGCUAAGGA